CUAGCAUAUCAAUAAGCGGAGGAAAAGAAACCAACAGGGAUUGCCCUAGUAACGGCGAGUGAAGCGGCAACAGCUCAAAUUUGAAAUCUGGCCCUCGGGUCCGAGUUGUAAUUUGUAGAGGAUGCUUUUGGCGCGGUGCCUUCCGAGUUCCCUGGAACGGGACGCCUUAGAGGGUGAGAGCCCCGUACGGUUGGACACCAAGCCUCUGUAAAGCUCCUUCGACGAGUCGAGUAGUUUGGGAAUGCUGCUCUAAAUGGGAGGUAAAUUUCUUCUAAAGCUAAAUAUUGGCCAGAGACCGAUAGCGCACAAGUAGAGUGAUCGAAAGAUGAAAAGCACUUUGAAAAGAGGGUUAAACAGCACGUGAAAUUGUUGAAAGGGAAGCGUUUGCGACCAGACCUUUUCCUGGCGGAUCAUCCGGUGUUCUCACCGGUGCACUUCGCCAGGUUGAGGCCAGCAUCGGUUUCUGUAGGGGGAUAAAAGCUCUGGGAACGUAGCUCCUUCGGGAGUGUUAUAGCCCUCUGCAUAAUACCUUUACGGGGACCGAGGACCGCGCUUCGGCAAGGAUGCUGGCAUAAUGGUCGUCAACGACCCGUCUUGAAACACGGACCAAGGAGUCGAACAUUUGUGCGAGUGUUAGGGUGUUAAACCCUCACGCGUAAUGAAAGUGAACGGAGGUGAGAGCCCUUACGGGUGCAUCAUCGACCGAUCCUGAUGUCUUCGGAUGGAUUUGAGUAAGAGCAUAACUGUUCGGACCCGAAAGAUGGUGAACUAUGCGUGGAUAGGGUGAAGCCAGAGGAAACUCUGGUGGAGGCUCGCAGCGGUUCUGACGUGCAAAUCGAUCGUCAAAUCUGCGCAUGGGGGCGAAAGACUAUCGAACCAUCAAACUGGC
rnacentral:rRNA from 1 species